rnacentral:rRNA from 1 species
GACGAACGCUGGCGGCGUGCUUAACACAUGCAAGUCGAACGGAAAGGCCCUGCUUUUGUGGGGUGCUCGAGUGGCGAACGGGUGAGUAACACGUGAGUAACCUGCCCUUGACUUUGGGAUAACUUCAGGAAACUGGGGCUAAUACCGGAUAGGAGCUCCUGCUGCAUGGUGGGGGUUGGAAAGUUUCGGCGGUUGGGGAUGGACUCGCGGCUUAUCAGCUUGUUGGUGGGGUAGUGGCUUACCAAGGCUUUGACGGGUAGCCGGCCUGAGAGGGUGACCGGCCACAUUGGGACUGAGAUACGGCCCAGACUCCUACGGGAGGCAGCAGUGGGGAAUAUUGCACAAUGGGUGGAAGCCUGAUGCAGCAACGCCGUGUGCGGGAUGACGGCCUUCGGGUUGUAAACCGCUUUCGCUCAUGACGAAGCUUUGUGUGACGGUAGUGGGGAAAGAAGCACCGGCUAACUACGU